rnacentral:misc_RNA from 1 species
GUAAUUGCUGAAGGCUUCUCUCCAGUCAAAAACAGCUCUUACUAGUGUCUUCCUUGCCAAGAAUGAGAUCAAGGAUGCUGCAGCACCAAAUUGAAACUGUGUUGGAUAUAUGAUCUAUUCUAAUGCUAAUCAACGCAGUUUUGAGGGAGGUGACAUUUAGCUAUUUACCAUUGUCAAAUGCCAUGCCGUCCCUUCUAUAUAAUUAAGA